rnacentral:lncRNA from 10 species
GUUAAAAUUGGUUUUUAGGAGCACAAGGGACCAAGCCUGAGGAGGCAUCAGGUGUUGAAAAGCUAAUUCACAGCUCCCCAGCUGCCUACUUGUGGGGACAGCUUUCUUCGGCUGCAGGCAGUAAUUGCUUUACUGCUAUCCUAAAUUGCCCUGGAGAAGAAAGCAAAGCUUUGCUUGCUUUAUCCUGUGGAUUUAAAGCAGUGCCUAUACUUGCUCUGCAUAGAAGAGAACUUCUCCUACAGAUAUUUUUAUUCUAAUCCACGCAACACAUUCCAGUUGAAACAAGAUUUUGAAGACACGCCCUAGUGUACAUUUUAUCUGCACUGGCCUCAUGAGGAAAAUCAAAUAAGAUUAUCUUACAUUACAAAAUUUUCUUGCAUACUUUAUGCAACAGUGGAAACAACACAGGAUUGGAAUUAGAAGACCUGGUUUUAAAUACCAAAUUGUUCCCCAGAAUGAUCUGAUCCUACUGCUUAGCCUAUCUGGAUGUCAGUUUCUACAUCUCUAAAAGGAAGACACACAGAGGAGAAUGCUAUCUGAAGAUGGAGGCAGAGAUUGAAGUGAUGCAUCUACAGGGAUUGCUGGCCGCCACCACAAGCUAGAAGAAGCAAGGGAGGAUUAUUCCCUAGAGCCUUUGGAUGGAGCAAGUAGAAUCCAAGAAGACUCUAAAACCUCCAGUACUCAUGAAGAGAUGAGUUUGCUCAUUAUCAAUCUCAUUGAUCCUUAGCAUCGGAGCUGAGAGGGAGCCAGGAUGUUCAUCACACUGUGUAAAUGGCCUCUGUGAAGAACUUCCUGGGGUAUGGUCCAGCUUCCUGGAAUGGAAAAUUCUUCAAAUCAAAGGCAGAGGGUAAGGAAGAAAAUGAGAACUGAAACUGCUCCAAUCCCAGCUAGGAGAGAGGAAGAACUGUAAAGAAACCCCCCAAAUUACAUUGUAGAAUUAUUUUUCCCUAUGGUAUUAGGUUGAUCCCCCUUUCCUGGCCACCAGCAGCCCCUUUCCACACUUCUAGGAGCACCAGGAUCAAUUACCAUUCAUUGUUAUUUCAUGUGCAUAGACAACAGAACUUGCUGCUGUCAUAAAAGUAAAGGAACAGAUUUCUUAAAUUGCUACUUGAAGGAGCUCUUCUAUAUCAGUGCCAUUAAAUUAAAUUUCUGCUCUGUAUAAUGCAUAAAAAUGGCUUGUGAAUUUUUUUUCCUUGGGUGACUCAUUUUGUUUGAACUCCAAAGCAAUUCCUCAGAAACGGAAAGAGGCUAUUUAAAAAUGAGCUGUGAGAUUGUCAUUAAAAAUCAUUUUUUUUAAAGCAAAGGAGGUCUCUCCUAGCACCAAAUGAUAAAAUACAAAUUUGAGAAUCCUGAACUCAGUUCUCAAAGGUAUCACCUUUGAAAAGGAAGUUUAAAAAAUAUUAAGUAACCUUUUAAAAAGUAAUUUUAAGGAAGUGAAGAAAUAAGAAUAAAAUCUUAAUUUUUAAGUGAAAAACUUUACUUUUUCUUAAGAGAAGAGUUUCUUGGUACCUCUUUCUGUCUUUUGUUUUUGUUUUUGUUU